ACAAGGUUUCCGUAGGUGAACCUGCGGAAGGAUCAUUGUCGAUACCUACAAAGC
rnacentral:rRNA from 1 species